rnacentral:misc_RNA from 1 species
CAACUGCGAUAAAUAAUGUGAACUGCAGAUAUUUUGAACAUUGAAAAUUCGAAUGCACAUUGCGCCAUUGGAAUUAUAUCCUUUGGCACAUCUGGCUCAGGGUCGUUAAUAAAAAACGAAUGCCUCUUUCGUUCUCCUAUCACGCUAGCUGGAUCAUGAUGGCUGGUGUUGCCGGUCCCAACCAUGUUAGGUUGGCUGCCACCACGUCGCCGUGUUCUGGCUUAUAUGUUGUUUACCCGCUGGGUGUGUAUGCUGGGUUGUUGGAAGUGAAUCAGCGAUACUCUCGAUUCCAAUCUCCUCCAAUCCACUUCGCACCCGAGGUGGGCACUCGACUUAUCGACCUGAGCUCAGUUGUGAGUACCUGCUGAACUUAA